UCUGUGACGAUUUUGACGGUAGCAGAUGAAUAAGGAUCGGCUAACUCCGUGCCAGCAGCCGCGGUCAUACGGAGGAUCCCAGCGUUAUCCGGAAUUACUGGGCGUAAAGAGUUGCGUAGGUGGCAUAACAAGUAGAGCGUGAAAGCGUGUGGCUCAACCAUAUACACAUGUUCUAAACUGUUAAGCUAGAGUAUAAGAGAGGUAGCUGGAAUUCCUAGUGUAGGAGUGAAAUCCGUAGAUAUUAG
rnacentral:rRNA from 1 species